rnacentral:lncRNA from 1 species
AGGGGGGAGACCCGGGACUGUAAUUCAACAUUUGCCCCCAUUCAUUUUAUGGCUCUCACAACCCGUAGCCGUAUUACAGAGAAAAGGGAGGGUCUCCUCAUCGCCCAAUAGUUACAUGAGGAAAGGUCUGGGGGACUUUUCCUGUUGCAUUUUUCUCCUCCCUGGCCUCUGUUUCCAGACUGCUGGAGAGCACAGAUCACCAGAGGCUUUCUGGAUGCUUGAGGGGCCGGCGUGGGGUGGGGGAUGCAAUUCAGAGCAGCAAGUGAUUCAGAGUUAACUCGCUGGGUGUCUGGAAAGGCCUGACGAAACGCAGCGCAGAAAAUUAGCCUGUAAAACAGCUAUAAAAUCUGAGUCACGGCAUCAUAAAAAUGCCAACUGACCAAGAACAAUAGAUAUUGCAAGCAGCCAGGAACAGGGCCGGUUCCCAUACGCACAGGCCUGGAAAUACCCUUCCCUCUCAGAACCUCCUUGCCAUGCUGUUAAUGGAGCCAGCUCUGAAAUAAACACCAGCGUAUGGAAAAGGAUGGAUCCACCCUGGAAGGUGGAGAUCACCAGAAUGAGGAGGGGCACUCCUGGAGCCCCCUGCACAACUCAGCAUCCUGGUGGCGAGGAAGAACAUGGGAUCUGGGUGGACACAUGGACUCCCCUCAGGCUUCAUCUUCACAAACCGAAUGACCUCUGGCAAGGGACUUACCUCAGUUCUGCAUCUGUAAACUGCAGAUUUACCCCCAUAGGUCUAUUGUGAAAUUAGAUGAAAAAAACCUUUAAUUGUAAAGUGUUUGCACUAGUCCCUGGCAUAAAGUGCUCAAAAGUUGGUGAAGCUAAAGGAGAGUGGAGGGGUGGUGACCCAGGGAAAGAAGGAUGGAAUGGAGUGCAUUCAAACCCCUCCACCAAUAUUCUGCAUCCGGGCAUUCCCAUGGCACCUACUACACACUGCUCUUAGCACUUCCAUGGUUAGACACCGCCCUCUCAAUCACCCCAUGAAAUGGGUGCUCUCUCUAUCUCCAUAUCAAAGAUGAGAAGUCAAGCUCAGAGAGGUUGAGUGGGCAGUCCAAGGUCACACUGGCCAACAGGCGGUCAAGGGGAAGUAUGCCUUGGCUGGCUGGCUCCAGAGUCCCCAUUCUCAACCACUCCCCGCUCCCUAGGCCAUGUGAACUAAACACUUAAUCCUCCCAGCAACCCCAUGAGCUGGGCACCAGUAUGGUCUCCAGUGUGUGCAUGAAGAAAUUGAAGCAGGAAGAGGUUAACUGGUUUCAAGGUAGAGAAAACUUCACCUGAGCUUAAUAUCACCGAUGCUAGCAGCACCAGCAAUAAGGAUCAGCAUGUACUGUGAUGCAUUAUGUACCAGGCACUGUCCUAACCACUGUGCCUAUCGUAGAUACAUUAACUUGCUACAUCUUUUCAAUUACUCCAUGGCACGGAUUCUAUUAUGACUUUACCUGUUGCCUGAGGCCAAGCAUAAACAUCAGAAAUGGCUGCUGUAGGUGAGAUAGGUGGUGAGGGGCAGAACAGAGACUCCACCCCAGGACAGGUUGGCUUCAGACCCUCCCUCAAAACCCCUGUGCUGUGCACAAGCACACACACACACACACACACACACAUAAUCACACAAGAUACAAUAUUGAGCUAUGUUCUUAACUGCUAUUCUAUAUGUUAAAAGUCAAAUCAUUGGGCACCUGGGUGGCUCAGUCAGUGAAGCGUCUGACUUCGGCUCAGGUCAUGAUCUCAGGGUCCCGGGAUCAAGCUCCAUGUUGGGCUCCUUGCUCAGCGGAGAGUCUGCCUCUCCCUCUCCCUCUGCCCCUCCCCUUGCUCGUGUUCUCUCUCUCUCUCUCUCAAAUAAAUAAAUAAAAUAUUUUUUAAAAAAGGUAAAUCCUGGGACACCCAGAUGGCUCAGUGGUUGAGCAUCUGCCUUUGGCUCAGGUUGUGAUCCUGGGGUCCUGGGAUCGAGUCCCACAUCAGGCUCCCCUCAGGGAGUGUCUCUACCUCUCUCUCUCUGUGUCUCCAUGAAUGAAUAAAUAAAAUCUUUAUAAAAAAGUUAAAUUGUGAAUUCUUCCAAACAUAAAAAUUUAGGAUCUGUACUCUUCAACCCACAAAUGUCCUAUGAGGAGGGGGUGCUUUAAAUUGCUUCUGGAGCCACUUUUCACAAUUCUUUACUCCAAGAGAAACCUUAGCCAACACUAGUGAGUUUGACACCAGCAUUUGCAGGAUGUGGAUUUGCUGUUUCUUUUUCUAUUAAAAGAGGAGUCCUCUUCGAGGCAUCCCCAGGGUUGUUGGUUUUGUAAAUAAAAAUACAGGAGCUCAGUUAAGUUUGAAUUUCAGAUAAACAACAAAUAAUUUUUAACCUAAGUAUGUCCCAAAUUGCAGCCCAACCUAUAUCUUAUCUGUUGACUGUAUUUUUGAUAUAAAUGUAUCCCAAAUUGUGUUGUGUGUCCUUAUCCUUUAUCUAGUCACCCUGCCACUGAGCACUUGAGUGGAAAUUUCACACAGAGUGAAGUGAGGGCUGCCACUUACUUCUUAAAUUUUGUGUCAGAAAUGGAGUUUAGCAAUACAGGGCUCUCCUAAGUACAUUAUUUCCACCUCAAAACCAUCUGACUUGCUCUGUUGGUCAAGUUUAUGCCACAUUCCGUUCUGCCAAUUACAGAGAGUAGACCUACAGGAGUUUCCAUCCCCAGAGAAAGCGGGUACCUGCAGAAUCAGGGGAGAGACUCAUUUGUUGUCAGUUUAUCUCCUCAAAAUGCACCCCACCUUAGAUUCUUCUUUCCUGGGUAGUAAUAGUAAAAUACGCUAAUUCAAGUACUUAGAAACCUCACCCUGCUGUGGUUCAUCAUGCAAAAUUAGUUCUUUAGAAAUAGGGCAAAUUCUUCAUUGAAAUGAACUACCUUUGAGGAAGUGAAUUUUUCUUGAUAUCUCACACUUCCUAGUAAUAAUUAUAAUUCCCAUUAUAAUUAUUCACUUGGUUGUGUGAACAGAACUAUCCUAUUAUGUAAAUUGUGUGCAAUUGCUUAAUAACAUAAAAGAAGUUUUAAUCCAUCUGUUUUUCAGAGUAGAAAUGACCUGAUCUAAAUAUUUCUUUUUGACAGAGGUGAAUUAUUCUCAGCUAAGAAUUAGGAAGAAGUAGCAGGUUGGAAAAGCUGAAUAUACACUUAAUACUCCCGCUAGCAAGCAGAGAAGCUAGUUUUAUUCAACUCACUGAACAAAUGUGAUAUUAAGUGGGCUUCACCAAAUAUAUAUUGGGAUAAAAAACAAUGUCUAUCUUUUAGUCCCAUAUGAUUUAAUGAAAUUCAUGCACCACUGAUUUGUUAUAAAUUAGAGAUUAGUGUCAUUUUGGGGUUUGGUUUAAAAUACAAGGUGCCAAAGAUGAAUUAACUUUACACAUGUUCAGAGAAAUUGUAUUGGGUUCACCCAAGUAGAACAAAAGAGAGGUAGUUAUUAAGGAAAGGGAUAAAAUCGGAGACAGAAGUUAUCUGAAAGAAGCAGUGAUCUGUUCAGAUGUUACAGACAAGGAAGCUUAGAGAAAACACUUAAGAAUUCACACACCCUAAGGAAGCCCCACCAGGCUUGGAGCUGAUGAUACUGUGGACCAUUAGCCAGGGCUGAGAAUCUCAAGAGCUUUCACAAUCAAAGGAUGAGCAACUGGCCACUCCAUAUAUUCUCCUUUUCCUGUGUACUCAAAUUUGAAUGCACUGAGAGAUCAGAGCAGAAAUUUGACUAAGGAUUCCGGGUUAAACCCAUGGAACCAGAGAGUAUGUUUAUUGAAGUGUGUAGAUCCUCCAAGCCCUGGCUAGUUGUUCCCAUGUAGGAACAGUUCUCCCAGCUUCAAGAGACUCCAAAAAUCUAGAUUUUUAUGUGAAAAUUUCCAAAGUUUUCAUCUUAGAUACUAAUACAACCAAAGUUUUAAAAAACUAAAACCAUAGUGUGGAAUAAGAAAACAAGGCUACAGAUGAAUCCAGGCUAUUGAUCAUUAAUUCGUUACCUUUACACAAGCUCACCGUGGGAAGUAUUUUGUACAACAUAACACCUGAGAGAGGCUGUACUUGCAGUGCCAAUAGGAGGUGGGGGCUUUGGGCAUCACAAUUUCCUUGUUCUAGGAAGUUCUGCUGUGACACAGCAGGUUAGAAUCCAGUGCCAUAGGUUUGGUGCAUGAAUUCUCUUCCUUGGCCAGUCCUAGGUUCUCAGUUGCCUGCCUUGUCUCCUGGAGCUUCCCCGGGUUUUAAUAUUUGCCCCAUUUUCCUUGUAAUAUGACUCUGGGCUAAUUUUCUGGAUUAUCUGGGUCCUUGGAAAACAAGACAAAUAUUCAUCCAAGGCAGAGGUUUUUAAGUGACCCAAAGCAAAGGAGACUUUGUUUAAUUCGGAAAAUCUCAUUUAAAGAAAUACUACAAAUAUCUUCAAUACCCUGUUGGGAGAAUUUCCCAUCCCCUUGACUGGCGACACCAACUUUUGUCUAGCCCACCUCCUUAAUGCUGGAAUUAACAACAUGCGGUAUAUUAAAAGAACAGUGGGCCAGGAAUCAUGAGGAUUCAGGUUCUAGUUCUGUGUCAAAAACCAGUAACUGGGUGACUUGGACAUACCCUCUUCCCCUAAACUAAUUAGACGAGUCACUGUUUCCAUUCACAACCAUGGCGAAGAGAUUUUGGCAUAUCUCUGAAUCCCAUGAUGGGACAGGCUUGUGCACAUGCUGGUGGCACUCCCCGGGUAUUUAGUCAAGUGCUAAUCCACGUGUGUUGCUCUGAAAGCAUUUUGUAGAUGUGACUAAUACCCUUGCUCAACUGGCUUUAAAUACAAGAGAUUUUUAUAGAUGAUCUGGACCGGGUCGACUUCAUAAGCUAAAAGACCCUUAAAAAGCAGAGCUGAGGCUUCCCUGCCUAUAGAACAGGAGUUUCAAGCUAUGCCUGAGAGCUCCAGGCUGCCCCUCCUAUGGCAUGCCUCAAGGAUUCCAGAUUUCCAC